rnacentral:sRNA from 1 species
CCUGGUGGAGAAGCGGGUCUCGCUUGGGUUCCGCUAAUUUCUGUCCUGAGGCGUGAGACUGAGUUCAUAGGGUCCUGGGUCCCCGAACCAGGAAGGGUUGAGGGAACACAAUCUGCAAGCCCCCGCGCCCCAAGUGAGGGGCCCCGUGUUGUGGUCCUCCCUCCCUUUGCAUUCCCACCCCUCCGGGCUUUGCGUCUUCCUGGGGACCCCCUCGCCGGGAGAUGGCCGCGUUGAUGCGGUGCAAGGAUUCGUCCUGCUGCCUGCUCCUACUGGCCGCGGUGCUGAUGGUGGAGAGCUCACAGAUCGGCAGUUCGCGGGCCAAACUCAACUCCAUCAAGUCCUCUCUGGGCGGGGAGACGCCUGGUCAGGCUGGCAAUCGAUCUGCGGGCAUGUACCAAGGACUGGCAUUCGGCGGCAGUAAGAAAGGCAAAAACCUGGGGCAGGCCUACCCUUGUAGCAGUGAUAAGGAGUGUGAAGUUGGGAGGUAUUGCCACAGUCCUCACCAAGGAUCAUCGGCCUGCAUGGUGUGUCGGAGAAAAAAGAAGCGCUGCCACCGAGAUGGCAUGUGCUGCCCCGGUACCCGCUGCAAUAAUGGCAUCUGUAUCCCAGUUACUGAAAGCAUCUUAACCCCUCACAUCCCGGCUCUGGAUGGUACUCGGCACAGAGAUCAAAACCACGGUCAUUACUCAAACCAUGACUUGGGAUGGCAGAAUCUAGGAAGACCACACACUAAGAUGUCACAUAUAAAAGGUAGGGAUAUCUGUAGUUCUGGGUUUUUUUUAAAAUAAAGAAAUAGAAGAAAAAUAUAGAUAAUUCCAUUGGUUUUAGAAAAAAUUACAAGGAAGUUUCUUUAAUCCUAGCUAGUCAUUAAACUUGUUAUUUAGGUGGCAAAUAAUGGAAACAGACCAUAAUAGAUUUAUGUGAUAAGAGGCAGAGCCAAUUGGUAUCAACCAAGACUUUUCAUUAUAAAUGGUAACAACAUAGAAGAUAGUAUAAGUAAAAAUAUUUUAUGUGCUUCUGAUUGCAAAAUAGAAUCUUUUUUUCUGAAGUGUCAGGGUAACAUCUAUUGGUCAUCAUCUCUGCAGGGCAUGAAGGAGACCCCUGCCUACGAUCAUCAGACUGCAUUGAAGGGUUUUGCUGUGCUCGUCAUUUCUGGACCAAAAUCUGCAAACCAGUGCUCCAUCAGGGGGAAGUCUGUACCAAACAACGCAAGAAGGGUUCUCAUGGGCUGGAAAUUUUCCAGCGUUGCGACUGUGCAAAGGGCCUGUCUUGCAAAGUAUGGAAAGAUGCCACCUACUCCUCCAAAGCCAGACUCCAUGUGUGUCAGAAAAUUUGAUCACCAUUGAGGAACAUCAUCAAUUGCAGACUGUGAAUUUGUGUAUUUAAUGCAUUAUAGCAUGGUGGAAAAUAAGGUUCAGAUGCAGAAGAAUGGCUAAAAUAAGAAACGUGAUAAGAAUAUAGAUGAUCAC